UCCUAAAAAGCUAGCCCGACCCCAUGAGAAACAACACCCUAUAAAUUACAAACCCCUGUAAAACAACAAACAAACCAUUUUACCUCCCUAGUACCUGGGCGACAGAAAAGGAAACCCCGGAGCAAUAGAAAAAGUACCGCAAGGGAAAGCUGAAAGAGAAAUGAAACAACAACCCCAAGCUAUGAAAAGCAGAGAUGACCCCUCGUACCUUUUGCAUCAUGAUCUAGCCAGUAUGCCUGAGCAAAGGGAACUUUAGUUCAGCCCCCCGAAACUAGACGAGCUACUUCAAGACAGCCUAUGUUGGGCAAACCCGUCUCUGUUGCAAAAGAGUGGGACGAUCUUCAAGUAGAGGUGACAAACCUAUCGAGCCUAGUCAUAGCUGGUUGCCUGAAAAGUGUAUAUGAGUUCAGCCUCCCGAUUCCCCUCAUCCAAGACAUCUAUGUCCUACAAGACCAAGGGCGACCGAGAGAGUUAGUCAAAGAGGGUACAGCCCCUUUGAAAAAGGACACAACCUCACCGGGAGACAAAAGAUCAUAACUUACCCAAGGAAACUUGUUUUAGUGGGCCUAAAAGCAGCCACCUAUGAAGAAAGCGUUAAAGCUUAUACAAAAUACAACCCUUAAUACCGAACCGUGCUCUACACUCCCCACCCACUAUCAGGCCGUCCCACAAACCCUGGAAAAGACCCUGCUAAAAUGAGUAAUAAGAGUGAACCGCCCCUCUCCACUACACAUGUGUAAAUCGGAACGGACCAACCGCCGACAACUAACGACCCCCCUCAGAGGGCUGUGUACUACUGCACGAACAGCUAGAAACCUCAACACAACCAAUCGUUACCCCAACACAGGUGUGCAUGCCCGGAAAGACUUAGAUAAAGGGAAGGAACUCGGCAAACAAUAGCCUCGCCUGUUUACCAAAAACAUCGCCUCUUGCAAAACGAACAAAUAAGAGGUCCCGCCUGCCCUGUGACUAUAUGUUUAACGGCCGCGGUAUUUUGACCGUGCGAAGGUAGCGCAAUCACUUGUCUCUUAAAUGGAGACCUGUAUGAAAGGCAUCACGAGGGCUUGACUGUCUCCCCUUUAAAGUCAAUGAAAUUGAUCUCCCCGUGCAGAAGCGGGGAUAUGCUCGUAAGACGAGAAGACCCUAUGGAGCUUAAGACACAAAGCGACCCAUGUCAAACACCCCCUCAAAGGACACGAACAGAAUAGGCCCCGCCAGAAUGUCUUCGGUUGGGGCGACCGCGGGGAAAAACAAAACCCCCACAUGGACUGGGGCUACUCAACUUUUAUCAGCCUCAAAACCUAGACCCCUGAGUCAAAUCAACAGUAUUUCUGACCACCAAGGAGCCGGCAAUGCCGAUCAACGGACCAAGUUACCCUAGGGAUAACAGCGCAAUCCCCUCCCAGAGCCCAUAUCGACGAGGGGGUUUACGACCUCGAUGUUGGAUCAGGACAUCCUAAUGGUGCAGCCGCUAUUAAGGGUUCGUUUGUUCAACGAUUAAAGUCCUACGUGAUCUGAGUUCAGACCGGAGUAAUCCAGGUCAGUUUCUAUCUACGCAUCAAUCUUUUCUAGUACGAAAGGACCGAAAAGAAGAGGCCUCUAUCAACCAUACGCCUCACCCCCCACUAAUGAAUACAAAUAAAAUAGGAGGGGGCAAAAAUCGCACACCCAAAAGUAGGGUUA
rnacentral:rRNA from 1 species